UACGUAGGGUGCGAGCGUUGUCCGGAAUUAUUGGGCGUAAAGAGCUCGUAGGCGGUUUGUCGCGUCGACUGUGAAAACUGGGGGCUUAACUCUCAGCUUGCAGUUGAUACGGGCAGACUUGAGUUCGGUAGGGGAGACUGGAAUUCCUGGUGUAGAGGUGAAAUGCGUAGAUAUCGGGAGGAACACCAGUGGCGAAGGCGACUACCUGGCCUGUUUCUUGACGCUGAGGCGCGAAAGCUAGGGGAGCAAACGGG
rnacentral:rRNA from 1 species